rnacentral:rRNA from 1 species
GACGAACGCUGGCGGCGUGCCUAACACAUGCAAGUCGAGCGAGUGAAUCUCCUUCGGGAGUGAAGCUAGCGGCGGACGGGUGAGUAACACGUGGGCAACCCGCCUCAUAGAGGGGGAAUAGCCUUUCGAAAGGAAGAUUAAUACCGCAUAAGAUUGUAGCUUCGCAUGAAGUAGCAAUUAAAGGAGCAAUCCGCUAUGAGAUGGGCCCGCGGCGCAUUAGCUAGUUGGUGAGGUAACGGCUCACCAAGGCGACGAUGCGUAGCCGACCUGAGAGGGUGAUCGGCCACAUUGGGACUGAGACACGGCCCAGACUCCUACGGGAGGCAGCAGUGGGGAAUAUUGCACAAUGGGGGAAACCCUGAUGCAGCAACGCCGCGUGAGUGAUGACGGCCUUCGGGUUGUAAAGCUCUGUCUUCAGGGACGAUAAUGACGGUACCUGAGGAGGAAGCCACGGCUAACUACGUGCCAGCCGCCGCGGUAAUAC